rnacentral:rRNA from 1 species
CCUACGGGUGGCAGCAGUGGGGAAUAUUGGACAAUGGGCGAAAGCCUGAUCCAGCCAUGCCGCGUGUGUGAAGAAGGCCUUCGGGUUGUAAAGCACUUUCAGUGGGGAAGAAAGCCUUGGGGCUAAUACCCUCGAGGAAGGACAUCACCCACAGAAGAAGCACCGGCUAACUCCGUGCCAGCAGCCGCGGUAAUACGGAGGGUGCGAGCGUUAAUCGGAAUUACUGGGCGUAAAGCGCGCGUAGGCGGUCUGUUAAGCCGGUUGUGAAAGCCCCGGGCUCAACCUGGGAACGGCAUCCGGAACUGUCAGGCUAGAGUGCAGGAGAGGAAGGUAGAAUUCCCGGUGUAGCGGUGAAAUGCGUAGAGAUCGGGAGGAAUACCAGUGGCGAAGGCGGCCUUCUGGACUGACACUGACGCUGAGGUGCGAAAGCGUGGGUAGCAAACAGGAUUAGAUACCCGUGUAGUC